UCUUCUUCCUCACAACUUUCCGUUGCGGGUACCUUAUCCAGUGAACCUCGACAAUCCACCACCAUCAGACAAAUUCGUCCACCGCUUCAACCUUAUCUUUCAUAUCCAUACUUUGUUUCACGUCAAGGUUCGACGUUGUUCUGCUUCACCUUCAUCAUUCAACCUUCACUGCGUGCGAUUCGCUCGGUUCUCCUCUUGAGUCCGUACCACCGCCACGAUUCGAUUCGUUCUCAUCUCCGUCCGUCAUCAUCUCAUCCUUUCUGUGGCUCGUUCUACUUCUCCGUCUCCGAUUCAACUUAA